rnacentral:rRNA from 1 species
AUUGAACGCUGGCGGCAGGCCUAACACAUGCAAGUCGAGCGAGAGGCGGACGGGUGAGUAAUGUAUGGGGACUGCCCGAUAGAGGGGGAUAACUCCUGGAAACGGUAGCUAAUACCGCAUACUAUCGGAUAACCCAUAUGGGAUUAGCUAGUAGGUGGGGUAAUGGCUCACCUCGGCGACGAUCCCUAGCUGGUCUGAGAGGAUGAUCAGCCACACUUGGACUGAGACACGGCCCAGACGCCUACGGAGGCAGCAGUGGGGAAUAUUGCACAAUGGUCGCAAGCCUGAUGCAGCCAGGCCGCGUGUAUGAAGAAGGCCUUAGGGUUGUAAAGUACUUUCAGUCGGGAGGCGUUACCGACAGAAGAAGCACCGGCUAACUCCGUGCCAGCAGCCGCGGUAAUAC